GAUCAAGAACGUAGUGAAAUGCGAUAAGUAAUGUGAAUUGCAGAAUUCAGUGAAUCAUCAAUCUUUGAACGCACAUUGCGCCCCUUGGUAUUCCGGGGGGCAUGCCUGUUCGAGCGUCAUUAUCACCCCUCAAGCUCAGCUUGGUGUUGGGGCCUGCCGUCAAGGCAGCCCUUAAAAUCAGUGGCGGCGCCAUCUGGCUCUAAGCGUAGUAAUACUUCUCGCUACAGUGUCCCGGUGGUGUCUUGCCAGAACCCCUCAUUUUUUAUGAUUGACCUCGGAUCAGGUAGGGAUACCCGCUGAACUUAAGCAUAUCAAUAAGCGGAGGA
rnacentral:misc_RNA from 1 species